GCCCGGCUGGCUCAAUGGUUAGAGCAUCUGACUUCUAAUCAGAAGGUUGCGUGUUCGAGUCUCGCGUCGGGUU